GGAAGAAGGCCUUCGGUUGUAACCGCUUUCAGACGGAAAGAAAUCGCAUGGACUAAUACUCUGUGUGGAUGACGGUACCGUAAGAAGAAGCACCGGCUAACUACGUGCCAGCAGCCGCGGUAAUACGUAGGGUGCGAGCGUUAAUCGGAAUUACUGGGCGUAAAGCGUGCGCAGGCGGUUUCUUAAGCCAGACGUGAAAUCCCCGGGCUUAACCUGGGAACUGCGUUUGGAACUGGGAGACUAGAGUGUGUCAGAGGGAGGUGGAAUUCCCGCGUGUAGCAGUGAAAUGCGUAGAUAUGCGGAGGAACACCGAUGGCGAAGGCAGCCUCCUGGGAUAACACUGACGCUCAUGCACGAAAGCGUGGGGAGCAAACAGGAUUAGAUACCCUGGUAGUCCACGCCCUAAACCGAAUGUCAACUGGCUGUUGGGAGAGAAAAUCUUUCAGUAGCGAAGCUAACGCGUGAAGUUGACCGCCUGGGGAGUACGGCCGCAAGG
rnacentral:rRNA from 1 species